GGUCACAAAUUUCGACAUUUGCAUUUAUAAAGACGUUUUUGACAGAAUUUUUUAAUAAAGCAUUUUUGGAGAAUAGAUGCGGAAUUUACGGUCACAUUAAAAACCGUCAUGAAUUUGGUCAUUUUCAUCUAUAUACGCGUUUGUGACGAAAAUUUUCAAUUAUAAUUUAUUGUCAAAUACAAACUAUAAAAGAAUUUGAUCAUUGUAUUACCGAAAUUUACCGAGAUAUUUCAGUUUUAGCUUGUACAAUCGCCAUCAUUAAUGCCUGGGAAAAAAAUUUGAAAGUUGCAACCACUCUGUAUGUUGUCAUAGUUAAGGCGAAAAAUAUCCGUUGGCGACAGUGGGAGCAUAGAGGAGUGUGAACUUAGGCCAAGUGAAAGGAAAUGUAUUUAAAGUGGUUAAUAGUUCAAUGACAUAUGUAAACAAACAUAAGGGUUAGUAAAUAAAUAUUAAUUUUUAUUUGUUUAUAUAAAAAACAAUGUUGUGCUUGGUGAAGAACUGUUUAUUAAAGUGUGUAGCUUUAAUUAAUGAAUUAAAAUAAAUAAAAUGUUAUUAAAAGUAGUAAUUGUGAUUUAAAAAUUUCUGAUCUGUAGCGUGCAGUGUUAAACGUGAAAUAUUAAUUAAAAGUUGAAUAAAAUUAAGUGAUUUCAAUUAAAGAGCAUAUACAAUCACAGACUUUAGGUUAAAUGUACAUAAGUCUGAGGAAAAGUUCAAUUGGUGCACUUGCUAGUACUCUAGCUAAGUAUACUAUUUACGGAUACUACUGGUUAUAAGAUGUUAUAAGGUAGCUAGGACGAAUUCUGGGACAAAUUCACAACAAAUUCACAAUCAUAUUCAUAUAUGAUAAAAUAUUUAAUUAUUAAUUAACUUUUGUUUAAGAAAUUUAUUAAUCAUAAAUGUUAUAAUUGUAAUAAAUAAUAAAUAAAUAAAUAUACAAGUAAAGAGAGUCAACUCUUGCUCAGUUAUUUUAUAAUUCAUCUCUCAAGUUCAUUUAAAUUUAAUAUUAUAGUUAUUAUUAUUAUUUGAUGGUAUCAUCGUAUCGUCAUUAUGACGCUUGUCCGUCUAUCCGUAAUUUGUCACUAAGAUGAAAUUGAAGUUUUUGGUGGACUCUGGCUGAGGAUACUAUUUUUACAAAGACUGCUGGUUAUAAAGUAUUUACUAGUUAUGGUGAUUAUUAUCUGGGCAAAUCUGCUCGAGGCUGAUUGGAUGUUAAAUUGGAGCAUUACGUUGGAUCCCGGCUGAGGACCUUCUCUUCAUUGCGAGUACUGGCCAUUAAUUUAUGGAUGUACAGGCUACAUAAAAAAUUUCCCAAUGAAAUUUUCACGGAUUUAAUGAAGAAUUUAAUUGGAAUACGCCAAGAGACUACGACUCAGGAUUUUGUUCGAUUUUCUCUGUUGGUAAUCGUACAUUUCUCCAUGAUGAUUUCAUUUUCCAAUAUAUUAAUUAAACAAAUUCUGUGAAUUCGUAUUAAAACAAAACAAAAACAAAUAUAAAUCAAUUCGUACCUUUAGUAACAAUGAAGACUUUGUCCCUUGUUAAUAAAAAAAAAAAGUAACAAUUACGAUCGAGAAUUUCAGUUGUUUUUAGUGUUCACUUCAUUUAUUCAUUCGUCACCGGUUACCAUCGCAUCAUCACUUGCCACUAUGAUCUCUCCAAACAAAUGGACUUUCAAUGAAGAAUAUGCAAUGGUUCGUUCUCGUCUCCUGGAACAUGGGACGGAUUAUAAGUUUAAUCGUUUACGAGACGAUGACCUUGGCAUAUGGGAAAUUAUUUCUCAAGAACCAAUUCUCGUAAACGGAAAAAAAGAAGCUACGAUGUGCCGGGACCGGUUCUUCGACAUCAUUGAUGUUUUUUUGGUUUAUUUUAACAUGUCAGACAGGCAACGAAUGUCGGUGAACUUGCCUGCACAUUACAUGCUUUUUCAAUAUUACCUCACUCAAUGUGAUGCAGUUUUUUAGAAAAAUUGGGCUGAGUAAAAAUUAAAAGUGAUCUUCAAAAUGAAAAUGAAUAAAAUUUUUUUGGAUUCUCAACAAAUUAA